rnacentral:lncRNA from 1 species
GUGUGGACACGAUGAAUGAUUCCUAGAGUGGUACAUUGUGGGUGAGUGACACUUCCCUACAAGGAUCUUGCUAAGACCAGUGGCAGACACCAUUUUUGACAAUAUUUUCUCAUAGUUUGGUAUGCAGCGAGAAUGCUCCUUUGAUAAAUUGCUUAUGAAGUCUUGUGCAAACAUGGAGCACUUGAGAUAGAGAACAGCCAUCAGGAAAGACAUAGACCCACCUCUGACCAUGGCUGAUGGGUGAAUCCCUUGAGAGGGCUUCUUAGUAGUGUUACAAUACAUUCACCAAGCUGGCGAGAGAAGAAUGAAAGGAAAGAGGUGAGUCUUUUAGGAGUGCAUCAUACCCCACAUAUAUAUGUUUGGCUAUGGUACCAAAAGCAGUCUUGGAUGCAACAGGAUCCAUGUCAAAACACCUGUACCAUUCUUCACAGAAAUGGAUAAAACAAUCAUAAAUUCAUUCACAGAGGAGCAUAAAGGACCCCAAGUAGACAAAACAACCCCAAGUAAAAAGAAUAAUACUGACAGUAUCAGCAUUGCUUCCUUCAAGCUAUACAACAGAGCCAUGGUGAGGAAAACAGCAUGGUACUGACACAAGGCAGACAUGUAAACCCACGGAAGAGAACAGGAGACCCAGACACAAAACAAUGAAGCCACAUCACUUCAUUUCGACGACGGUGUAAAAUACUCACGGUGGUGGGGCAGUCUUUUUGAACAAAAAAAAAAUACUGGGGAAAGUCACAUGCAGGAG